rnacentral:rRNA from 1 species
UACGGAGGGUGCAAGCGUUAUCCGGAUUCACUGGGUUUAAAGGGUGCGUAGGUGGGCAGGUAAGUCAGUGGUGAAAUCUCCGGGCUUAACUCGGAAACUGCCGUUGAUACUAUCUAUCUUGAAUAUCGUGGAGGUUAGCGGAAUAUGUCAUGUAGCGGUGAAAUGCUUAGAUAUGACAUAGAACACCCAUUGCGAAGGCAGCUAACUACACGAUCAUUGACACUGAGGCACGAAAGCGUGGGAAGCAAACAGG